AGAACGAACGCUGGCGGCAUGCCUAACACAUGCAAGUCGAACGAGACCUUCGGGUCUAGUGGCGCACGGGUGCGUAACGCGUGGGAAUCUGCCCUUAGGUUCGGAAUAACAGUUAGAAAUGACUGCUAAUACCGGAUAAUGUCUUCGGACCAAAGAUUUAUCGCCAAAGGAUGAGCCCGCGUAAGAUUAGCUAGUUGGUGGGGUAAAAGCCUACCAAGGCGACGAUCUUUAGCUGGUCUGAGAGGAUGAUCAGCCACACUGGGACUGAGACACGGCCCAGACUCCUACGGGAGCAGCAGUGGGGAAUAUGGACAAUGGGCGAAAGCCUGAUCCAGCAAUGCCGCGUGAGUGAUGAAGGCCUUAGGUUGUAAAGCUCUUUACCCGGGAUGAUAAUGACAGUACCGGAGAAUAAGCCCGGCUAACGUCCGUGCCAGCAGCCGAC
rnacentral:rRNA from 1 species